CUCCCCACUCUUUGUAACUGAAGCGAUUGAUAAUGGGAGUGGUUUGAACUUUGAAUACAUGAAAAUUUCGUCGACUGGCGACUUAGGGUUGGUGUGUAAUUUGAGCUAUUCUUAAUGAAGCGGCUGGCGACUUAGGGUUGGCAACUGACGACGACGAUUAAGAAAAAGGUUUGAAAGCAGUGAGCGACAAACUGCAAUUGGCUGCGAUGACGAGUGAGAAAAAAAUACAUACGACGACGACUGAGCCGAAAGUCGUGGGUUAAUUCCAUUGGUGCCAAGGUCUUAGAAUUAAAUGUCACGAAAGUGCAUGACAAAGAAAUUGGGAUCGCUCAACGCUGUCUUUCGAAUGGAAUUUCUAUUAGUUAUAAGAUUUCAAAAAAUAAAGCUCAAGGAGGUGUUAUGCGGUUAUUGUUGGCGGUGGGUGAGUAGCUGAAAGUUCUGAGUCGAGAGGAGCU